GUGCUAGUGGCGGACGGGUGAGUAACGCGUGGGAACAUACCCUUUGGUUCGGAAUAGCCUCGGGAAACUGGGAGUAAUACCGGAUAAGCUCUUCGGAGGAAAGAUUUAUCGCCAAAGGAUUGGCCCGCGUUGGAUUAGGUAGUUGGUGGGGUAAUGGCCUACCAAGCC
rnacentral:rRNA from 1 species